UACCAUGCAGUCGAGCGGAGAUGAGGUGCUUGCACCUUAUCUUAGCGGCGGACGGGUGAGUAAUGCUUAGGAAUCUGCCUAUUAGUGGGGGACAACAUUCCGAAAGGAAUGCUAAUACCGCAUACGUCCUACGGGAGAAAGCAGGGGAUCUUCGGACCUUGCGCUAAUAGAUGAGCCUAAGUCGGAUUAGCUAGUUGGUGGGGUAAAGGCCUACCAAGGCGACGAUCUGUAGCGGGUCUGAGAGGAUGAUCCGCCACACUGGGACUGAGACACGGCCCAGACUCCUACGGGAGGCAGCAGUGGGGAAUAUUGGACAAUGGGGGGAACCCUGAUCCAGCCAUGCCGCGUGUGUGAAGAAGGCCUUAUGGUUGUAAAGCACUUUAAGCGAGGAGGAGGCUACUGAGACUAAUACUCUUGGAUAGUGGACGUUACUCGCAGAAUAAGCACCGGCUAACUCUGUGCCAGCAGCCGCGGUAAUACAGAGGGUGCGAGCGUUAAUCGGAUUUACUGGGCGUAAAGCGUGCGUAGGCGGCUUUUUAAGUCGGAUGUGAAAUCCCCGAGCUUAACUUGGGAAUUGCAUUCGAUACUGGGAAGCUAGAGUAUGGGAGAGGAUGGUAGAAUUCCAGGUGUAGCGGUGAAAUGCGUAGAGAUCUGGAGGAAUACCGAUGGCGAAGGCAGCCAUCUGGCCUAAUACUGACGCUGAGGUACGAAAGCAUGGGGAGCAAACAGGAUUAGAUACCCUGGUAGUCCAUGCCGUAAACGAUGUCUACUAGCCGUUGGGGCCUUUGAGGCUUUAGUGGCGCAGCUAACGCGAUAAGUAGACCGCCUGGGGAGUACGGUCGCAAG
rnacentral:rRNA from 1 species